rnacentral:rRNA from 1 species
UACGUAGGGGGCAAGCGUUGUCCGGAUUCAUUGGGCGUAAAGAGCGUGUAGGCGGCCAGGUAGGUCGGUUGUGAAAACUGGAGGCUCAACCUUCAGACGUCGACUGAAACCCCCUGGCUAGAGUCCGGGAGAGGAGAGUGGAAUUCCUGGUGUAGCGGUGGAAUGCGCAGAUAUCAGGAAGAACACCCGUGGCGAAAGCGGCUCUCUGGAACGGUACUGACGCUGAGACGCGAAAGCGUGGGGAGCGAACGGG